rnacentral:rRNA from 1 species
AUUGAACGCUGGCGGCAUGCUUUACACAUGCAAGUCGAACGCGAAAGGGGGCAACCCUGAGUAGAGUGGCGCACGGGUGAGUAAUGCAUCGGAACGUGUCCUGUAGCGGGGGAUAACCUAGCGAAAGCUAGGCUAAUACCGCAUACGCCCUGAGGGGGAAAGUGGGGGAUCGCAAGACCUCACACUAUAGGAGCGGCCGAUGCCGGAUUAGCUAGUUGGUGGGGUAAAAGCUCACCAAGGCGACGAUCCGUCGCUGGUCCGAGAGGAUGAUCAGCCACACUGGGACUGAGACACGGCCCAGACUCCUACGGGAGGCAGCAGUGGGGAAUUUUGGACAAUGGGGGCAACCCUGAUCCAGCCAUGCCGCGUGAGUGAAGAAGGCCUUCGGGUUGUAAAGCUCUUUCGGCCGGGACGAAAUCGCAUGGGUGAAUAUCCUGUGUGGAUGACGGUACCGGAAUAAGAAGCACCGGCUAACUACGUGCCAGCAGCCGCAGUAA